rnacentral:rRNA from 1 species
GACGAACGCUGGCGGCGUGCUUAACACAUGCAAGUCGAACGGAAAGGCCCUGCUUUUGUGGGGUGCUCGAGUGGCGAACGGGUGAGUAACACGUGAGUAACCUGCCCUUGACUUUGGGAUAACUUCAGGAAACUGGGGCUAAUACCGGAUAGGAGCUCCUGCUGCAUGGUGGGGGUUGGAAAGUUUCGGCGGUUGGGGAUGGACUCGCGGCUUAUCAGCUUGUUGGUGGGGUAGUGGCUUACCAAGGCUUUGACGGGUAGCCGGCCUGAGAGGGUGACCGGCCACAUUGGGACUGAGAUACGGCCCAGACUCCUACGGGAGGCAACAGUGGGGAAUAUUGCACAAUGGGCGGAAGCCUGAUGCAGCAACGCCGCGUGCGGGAUGACGGCCUUCGGGUUGUAAACCGCUUUCGCCUGUGACGAAGCGUGAGUGACGGUAAUGGGUAAAGAAGCACCGGCUAACUACGUGCCAGCAGCCGCGGUGAUACGUAGGGUGCGAGCGUUGUCCGGAUUUAUUGGGCGUAAAGGGCUCGUAGGUGGUUGAUCGCGUCGGAAGUGUAAUCUUGGGGCUUAACCCUGAGCGUGCUUUCGAUACGGGUUGACUUGAGGAAGGUAGGGGAGAAUGGAAUUCCUGGUGGAGCGGUGGAAUGCGCAGAUAUCAGGAGGAACACCAGUGGCGAAGGCGGUUCUCUGGGCCUUUCCUGACGCUGAGGAGCGAAAGCGUGGGGAGCGAACAGGCUUAGAUACCCUGGUAGUCCACGCUGUAAACGGUGGGUACUAGGUGUGGGGUCCAUUCCACGGGUUCCGUGCCGUAGCUAACGCUUUAAGUACCCCGCCUGGGGAGUACGGCCGCAAGGCUAAAACUCAAAGGAAUUGACGGGGCCCCGCACAAGCGGCGGAGCAUGCGGAUUAAUUCGAUGCAACGCGUAGAACCUUACCUGGGUUUGACAUGGAUCGGGAGCGCUCAGAGAUGGGUGUGCCUCUUUUGGGGUCGGUUCACAGGUGGUGCAUGGCUGUCGUCAGCUCGUGUCGUGAGAUGUUGGGUUAAGUCCCGCAACGAGCGCAACCCUUGUUCACUGUUGCCAGCACGUUAUGGUGGGGACUCAGUGGAGACCGCCGGGGUCAACUCGGAGGAGGGUGGGGAUGGCGUCAAGUCAUCAUGCCCCUUAUGUCCAGGGCUUCACGCAUGCUACAAUGGCUGGUACAGAGAGUGGCGAGCCUGUGAGGGUGAGCGAAUCUCGGAAAGCCGGUCUCAGUUCGGAUUGGGGUCUGCAACUCGACCUCAUGAAGUCGGAGUCGCUAGUAAUCGCAGAUCAGCAACGCUGCGGUGAAUACGUUCCCGGG